rnacentral:rRNA from 1 species
CGAACGGGUGAGUAACGCGUGAGGAACCUGCCCCAAAGAGGGGGACAACAGUUGGAAACGACUGCUAAUACCGCAUAAGCCCACGGCUCGGCAUCGAGCAGAGGGAAAAGGAGUGAUCCACUUUGAGAUGGCCUCGCGUCCGAUUAGCUAGUUGGUGAGGUAACGGCCCACCAAGGCGACGAUCGGUAGCCGGACUGAGAGGUUGAACGGCCACAUUGGGACUGAGACACGGCCCAG